CUUGAAUAACAAUAAAAUCCACAAAUUUAGUUUGGAAAUUGGUGACUGCCUUACCCAUCUGUUUGAAUGGACCGUCUAGUAAGCAUGUACACUCCACUGAACACAUUAUGAUGAUUAGGUGUGUUAGGUACAAUCCCAUACAAUUGCAGUUCUUAUGAGUUAUGAUCUAGUAGUAGGCUUUGACCAAGUCUAAAUCUAGUCUAGUCACACUAAGAACCUUGCAGCAAACAAAUUUCUGUCUCACGGAAUAAAAGGCAUGUGAAGGCACCAAGAAUGACUUCUAGAGCGAAGAAAUUGUUCAAUCAAAAGAAAAACAAAGUGUGAACUAGAAAUCCUCAUUUGGUCUGGAAAGGAGCCUUUUUUUUAAAUAGACAAUUAAUAGACAUCAGGGAGUAACAUGAACCUGCUUGUUUGCAAAAAUAAGAACAACACCACCUCUUAACUCUUCCUCCUGACAAUAAAGCAUAAAGAUAUUUAAUUCAAAUUCAGAACACACAUUUCAGGUUAAGUUCAAGUAUAUUUAAAGAUAAAAUCUUCCAGAUUAACUGGUUCUGGUCAAAUACCCAAACAAAUUAACUAUAACUUUAGAUAGUGGUACAACAGAAGUUAACGACACAGAAACCAAUACUCUUUCCUUCUUUUUAUUUUGACAAGUUUAUAUUCAAAAGGGCACCAAGAGGGUGCUACCCAUAUUCAAACGAAGUCGCAAUAAAACAGGGUAAAACCUGCGCCACCGAAGCACAAAACCUACAUCAUGUCCUGUGGCUAAAUCCGACAAGUCAACAAAUGCUUUACUCAAACCAAGCAACACCUUAUUCUGCCAAAAAGAACAACUUUUUGAUAUGCACAAUAAACUGGUCUAUUUUAUCUAAAUAUCUAUAAUCUAGAAAUAUCACUAAAAGAUCUAGAUUAUGCUAUCAAAAUUCUUUAGAAAAAUUACUUACCCUUUGUACAGCGGUUUUGGCACGGAGCAAGUUCUCUGGUUUAACUCAUACAGGGGGAGGUAAGCACAAGCUUUAUGCCAUUGAAAAACCUACACUAAAAUCUCAAGAGCUCAAUAAUAUGAAACAGAUUUAAAGCUUUCGAGUUUGAUCUAAACCAAUAGAUGAAAAACCACUAUACAAAUCAUACCCAAAGCGAGACGAAUUUAAAUCUGACGAAGGGGAUAUUCAAAACCACUAUGCAAAUCUAACCCAUAGCCAGACGGCGAGAGAGCUAGGUUAGGGAUACUGAGGAAGAUGAGUUUGGGGAGAAGAGAAUGUGUUUUAUUUUGCUGGGAGAGUUCUUUUAGGUGGGUAUCGGCAUAAAAGUCUCUCUAGUUUCAUUUAUCA
rnacentral:lncRNA from 1 species